UACGUAGGGGGCAAGCGUUGUCCGGAUUUAUUGGGCGUAAAGAGCGUGUAGGCGGCCAGAUAGGUCAGCUGUGAAAACUCGAGGCUCAACCUCGAGACGUCGGUUGAAACCAUCUGGCUAGAGUCCGGAAGAGGAGAGUGGAAUUCCCGGUGUAGCGGUGAAAUGCGCAGAUAUCAGGAGGAACACCGGUGGCGAAGGCGGGUCUCUGGGCCGAUACUGACGCUGAGGAGCGAAAGCGUGGGGAGCGAACAGG
rnacentral:rRNA from 1 species